UACGAAGGGUGCUAGCGUUGUUCGGAAUCACUGGGCGUAAAGCGCGCGUAGGCGGCUAUUCAAGUCAGGGGUGAAAUCCUGGGGCUCAACCCCAGAACUGCCUCUGAAACUGUAUAGCUUGAGUGUCGGAGGGGAUAGCGGAAUUCCUAAUGUAGAGGUGAAAUUCGUAGAUAUUAGGAGGAACACCUGCGGCGAAGGCGGGUUGCUGGGCUGACACUGACGCUGAUGUGCGAAAGCUAGGGGAGCGAACGGG
rnacentral:rRNA from 1 species